CCUACGGGGGGCAGCAGUGGGGAAUAUUGCACAAUGGGGGAAACCCUGAUGCAGCGACGCCGCGUGAGUGAAGAAGGAAUUCGUUAUGUUAAGCUCCAUCAGCAGGGGAGAAAAUGACGGUACCUGAGUAAGAAGCCCCGGCUAACUACGUGCCAGCAGCCGCGGUAAUAUGGAGGGGGCCAGCGUUAUCCGGAUGUACUGGGUGUAAAGGGGGCGUAGGCGGGAGUGCAAGUCUGGAGUGAAAGGCGGGGGCUCAACCCCCGGACUGCUGUUGAAACUGUAGGGCUGGAGUGCAGGAGAGGUAAGUGGAAUUCGUAGUGUAGCGGUGAAAUGCGUAGAUAUUAGGAAGAACACCGGUGGCGAAGGCAGCUUACUGGACUGUAACUGACGUUGAGGCACGAAAGCGUGGGGAGCAAACAGGAUUAGAUACCCCUGUAGUC
rnacentral:rRNA from 1 species